UACGAAGGGGGCUAGCGUUGUUCGGAAUUACUGGGCGUAAAGCGCGUGUAGGUGGAUUGGUGUGUCAGAUGUGAAAUCCCUGGGCUCAACCCAGGAACUGCACCUGAAACUACCAGUCUUGAGUGGUGGAGAGGGAAGUGGAAUUCCUGGUGUAGAGGUGAAAUUCGUAGAUAUCAGGAGGAACACCAGUGGCGAAGGCGGCUUCCUGGACACCAACUGACGCUGAGACGCGAAAGCGUGGGGAGCAAACAGG
rnacentral:rRNA from 1 species